rnacentral:lncRNA from 1 species
UUUCUAACUCCAUUUUUUUUUUUUGCUAACAUUCAUUCAAAUAAUAUUGUUUUUUAGUGCCUUCCAGAAAAAAAGAUGUCAAUCUCAAAUUAGAAACCUGGCCACUAAAUGGUUGAAGGUCCAGGAUUCAAGGAAUUCAUUGUGGGCAUUAAGAGCUGACAGCGAGGGUCCAGGAGGAGGCAGCAGAAAGCAGAUCCUCUCAUUGAUAUCUCUAGCCCUUCAGCUGCUUAAUAUUCUGAAGAAGUGGAAAGGGGAACAGAAAUCUUAAAUACUGAUGAUGCGGCGAUACCAAGAGGAAGAUGUGAGUCAAAAGUAUCAGUGGGGACUCAGAAGAUAAAAAAGUGAGGUGCCCAAGUCACCGAAUCACCAAAGUGUAAAGAGAAGUCCCAGGAGGAAACUGUGUCAGCAGCAGGAACAAGCCGCCCUGGAACACAGCGACCUUUGGCACAAUUUCCCUCUCCUGGUCCCUCCCGAGUGGAAAGCGCUUGGCUAAAGAGUGAGAAAAAGCCCAGCCAGCGCUGCUUGGCGACCUCCCUGACCCAGGAGGGAGGCUGCUGAUUUCCCCUGAGUAGGAGAAAAGCCGCCGGCAGGUGGUGGCUACACACGUUAACUCCUACCUUCAGGGGGGCGCAACGGAUCCGCGGAAGCGGGAUUGGAUUUCACCGGUGCCCCUUUGUACUUGAUAUUUGGUAUUUUAGAAAAUGUCAUCAAUCAGCUAGGACCAUUACUCUAUAUCUCCAGGAGAUUCCGAAGACACUGUGUAUCAGAAUUGGAAAUUGCAGACUGUAAAAUUUUGUGCCUGAGGCUCAAGUGGAACAAACUAGUUGGGAUAAAUGGGACAAACCAGGUCUUCAAUUCAGUUGGGGGUAGUGUGGUCCAAAAAGAGUAAGGGAUAGGAAUGAGGCAGGGUCAGGAGUCAGGCCAAGGAGGAACUCAUUUGGGGUAUGGCCACUCUGCCAUCACCAUCUUGUAAUUUCCUUUUUGCAUGUUAAAUUCAGUUAUUUCCAUAUUGAUGAUGGGCUGAAAUGCUGUCAGCACCAACUCUGAAUACUGACAUCCUGGGAAAAGCUCUAGUCAGUCUGCCCAAGUUUUGAAUUUGGGGUUGGAGGUGGAGACUAUGGCCUGGUGAAUCAUUCUAUAAGGCAACUGUGGAAAAGGCCAAAGGAAGAAACUAAUAAGAUGCUCCAAAGCUUAGCUUCCCACCAUGGAAGCUUAUUUUGAACAGCUGGAAAAUAGCUACUUGAACAGUGUGUUCGAUAUGUAAGAUGGCCAGCCUUUGGAGCCCAGAGCCUUUUAACUUAUCCCAAGACAUAGAAUAGUGAAUGGUAACUGGGUUUCUAAAUGAAGCUGUAAACCAAAGGGCAAUACUUCUGGACCUAGAGUGUGUGUAUGCUCCAAAAGGGAAGGAAUACUUUUUUAAAAUUAAAUUUCGUUAUUUAAAUUUUAUUAUUUUUAAUUGAACGAGCACUUAUUGUCUAUUUCUCCCCCACUGUAUACCUGCUGGGGGAAGAGGGGAAGAAACAAAAACAAAAUAAAAACUUAAAAAAAUAUAUAGUC